UACGGGGGGUGCGAGCGUUGUCCGGAAUCACUGGGCGUAAAGGGCGCGUAGGUGGCUUGGUAAGCGUGUGGUGAAAGCCCGGGGCUCAACCCCGGGUCUGCCAUGCGAACUGCUAUGGCUUGAGCACUGUAGAGGCAGGUAGAAUUCCGGGUGUAGCGGUGGAAUGCGUAGAGAUCCGGAAGAAUACCGGUGGCGAAGGCGGCCUGCUGGGCAGUGGCUGACACUGAGGCGCGACAGCCAGGGGAGCAAACGGG
rnacentral:rRNA from 1 species